GCCUGGCGUGGUGGCGCACGCCUGUAAUCCCAGCACUUUGGGAGGCCGAGACGGGUGGAUCACCUGAGGUCAGGAGUUCGAGGCCAGCCUGGCCAAUAUGGUGAAACCCCAUCUCUA
rnacentral:SRP_RNA from 1 species